GAAUUAUUAUUAUUUUUUGUGGGGCGUGAACAGAGACAGGUUAGUGAAUCUGACAUUGCUUUCAAUCUCUCCUGUCACUGUUAAAUUUUAGAGGUGCACUGCACAAUUGGCAACAAUUCUUGAUGUGAAUAAUCAAAAUCAAAUCUCUAAAGCAGACAAAAGCAAUGAAACCCAAAAAUGGCUAAAAAGCAAUAAAUCCAAUUAAAAGAAAAGAUGCUUCCUAGCUAAUGCCUAUCUCUCUCUUGUUCUGUAAUUCUCUUCUUCAAUUUUUUUGAUUGAUUUCUUGCUGGUUUUAAAGUACAAGUUACGACUAUCUAAAUACAAUAGGAUUCCUAAAGAGGGCAGGA
rnacentral:misc_RNA from 1 species